rnacentral:sRNA from 1 species
ACCGGCGGCGGCGGCUCUGCUUGACUACCUGCCACAUACAAUCGCUCUCGCCAUGUAUACCAUGCUACACUGCGCGGCGGAUGGCAAUGUUCCUCCGGCUCGACUCACCCAUAUGAUAUCUAUCCCCCAGCCAUAGCCAUGUCUUGUUUGUCAAGUGAGACGCUGAACAGGCGGGAUCAAAUGAUACAGAUACCCAUUAUUUUCUUCCUCCUCUUCUUUCCGGGUCAGAUAUUCGACUCCCGCAAUUUUAUCAUCAUGGGAACGGUUUUUUUCAUUGGGCACCUAGUUGAACAAGAUUAGAAAAAAACCCGCUCUCCUCGUGGUUAAUAUAUCACCUUACAAAUUCAAACCGUGUUCAACCUAGACGCCCCCAGACAACAGUGCUCACCACUUAGGUCAACCCCUUCAUACUUAUCAGCAGCACCCAUCAGCAGAGCCUAUCAACGAGAUAUUCUUCUAAAUGACUUGACGAUGAUUAUAGCAUAUAUUUACAUCUUCAUUAACAACAGGACAAUCAUACAGAGUGAAUUGAAUGUGCUGGCUGUGAAGGGGUUCCAGUCGCUCAUUUAGAGGGCAGAAGAAGUCAAGGACAUGAUGUGACACAGGCAUUGGACUUGAACAUAUAAAUAUAUGAA